rnacentral:rRNA from 1 species
UACGGAGGGUGCUAGCGUUGUUCGGAAUUACUGGGCGUAAAGAGUGCGUAGGCGGAUAGAUAAGUUGGGAGUGAAAUCCCGGGGCUCAACCUCGGAAUUGCUUCCAAAACUGUCUAUCUAGAGUAUGGUAGGGGAAAGUGGAAUUCUUAGUGUAGGGGUGAAAUCCGUAGAUAUUAAGAGGAACACCAGAGGCGAAGGCG